rnacentral:rRNA from 1 species
GCCUGCAGCCACACCUCCCGGUGCUGGAUCCUGUCUGAUCUCGCAGGCUAAGCAGGGCUGGAUCAGGUUAGCACCUGGAUGGGCAGGGGAUGAGUGCUGCACGUA